CAGUUGGGGACAGCAGCAACAGAGACAGCGACAGCAACGGCAGCAGCGGAGGCGGCGGUGAUGGCCGAGUCCUAGGCGCCCGCCCACGGAUCAUAGCCCCAGGAAAACUUAUGGAUUCCAUCCAAACUGAUAAAAAUCAGAUUUGAUAGAGGAAGACCCUCUGAAGAUCUUGACUGCAGAAAGGAAGAAAGAAAUCUAGAAGACCAAAUAGGAUAGAAUGGAAGGCCAGAAGAGCAGCCCUGACCGGAUUCACUUUCGAGGAUGCUGGGAUGCUGAAACCUGCUUUUCCAGCUCCCUGAUCAAUAUUGCCUCAAACUGAUGCUGUUCCAGAGACUUGCUUCCAGAACAGCUUCAAAAAGGGCUGCUAAUCCCAGAUGACCUUGUUUCAUCCAGUCUUUCAGAUUGUUCUAAUCAGGACUUCAGUUAAGCCCUAAACUUUCUCCAUUCAAGACUUCAGUUAAUCAACCUAUAGAGACUGGACAACAAUAAUGCCAGCUAGCUUUCUUUUGACUUAACCAUUUUUCCAGUUUUCUCUUGGGCCCCCAAACUGGAACUCUUUUCCCCAAUUCAGCAAGAAGAAACUAUAAGAAGACUGUCAUCCCAAUCACUUAAGUUGGGGUGGAUAGUUUUGAUCAUUUUAUGAACUAUAGAUAUAUUGUCAUUUUAAGGGAUGAUUACAAAUAAUUAUGGUCUUAGACAGGGAGGAAAUUAUAUAGGGAGCUGAGACUCAGAGAUUGCUAUAUCUCUUUUCCUUUUCUCUAUCCUUCUUUCUUUCUUAAAUAAAGAUAAAGAGGUUGAGAAGAAAAAGGGGGCAUAUAGAAAUAUUGUAAGAAAUUAGACAAAUAGGGGUAGAUUAUUAAAUCUAUUCUUAAAUAAAAACAUUUUACAGUGAUAAUCUUAUAUUGAUAGAGANNNNNNNNNNNNNNNNNNNNNNNNNNNNNNNNNNNNNNNNNNNNNNNNNNNNNNNNNNNNNNNNNNNNNNNNNNNNNNNNNNNNUAAGGUUAUUCAGAUAGUUAGUAGCUAAGAAUAACGAAUGUCUAGUUGGUCUUCAAAACCUCAUAGAUACACAGAAUAUGGCAUUUAAAAUUAUUUCAUUAUUAAAAGAUCUUUUGACUAUGAGACAGGUCUGUUCCUGACAGUACCCCCAUUCCACUUCAGUGAAGGUGAUGAGCAUCAACAAUAACCUCCAUAUGGAGUUGCUCCAAUUGUAGCAAGUUAGCCACUGGGCAAAGAAAAUACCUAUGCUUCAACUACAGACAAAUCUGUUCAGAAAGGACAAAUGGAUGAAGAGCCAACCAAGCUCUGCCUAGACAGGAAUCUAAAUUAUCUUAUGGAGCCUGGUAGCAUUAUUGUGAAACUUCCCUUCUACACAGCCCAGACAGAACAGAGUGUUGAAAGUCUCUGAAUGAAAGCCUCUAGAAUCCAGUCUAAAAGAGAGUUCUUCUCAUAGUACCUCAGUGCACAUUUCUUAUCCGUAAUUCCUGGGUUUUCUAUUGGUCUGAAGGCACAGGAUGAUCACCCGUAUGAUACUACCCUAGUCUGAGAACUGGUCCACUCCUGCAUAGACAACAUGCACCAAAAUUCAGAUAGUUGAAGACACGGGGAAGAUGAAUGACUUUCAGACAAUCUAAUGACUUGGGGUCUGGAUGAAACUGGGAAUUUUGUUUGAAAGUAAAGACAAGCUAUGGGAAAGCACAUCUAUUAUUCUUCAUGAAUAUUUAACCUCAACUCGAAGUUUCCCUUCGCCAUCUUGAACUGCUUCACUGGCUAUUCCCUAAAGUUCAUCUUCCAAAGGCAACCAUCACUUAGAUUCUAACUGUUGCCCACCACUUGUGCUGAUCUGUUCCUGGGGGAGGCAGACACUGUUGUCCAAAGAGAAUGCACUCCUGACCUUGUCCUAAAAAGGCCCACACUAACAGCUGGGCUGGAAGCAUUGCUGACAGUAGCUAAAAUGCUUAUCCCUCACAGAAAAAUGGGAAGUAUUAUCCAAAUAUAACUGAGCAAAUUUCUCUGAAAUAUUGAUGAAAAUACAGUCAUGUUUCAACUUCUAAGAAAAAAAUAGAAGAAAUGAACCCUGGCUUACUAAAACACAAAAUUUCAAUGUACUAAUCAGAAGGAUUUUGGUUAUUGUUUUCAAUUCAAAAUACUCGAAUACUUUAACAUUGUUUAAUAGGCUUUUCUUUCAGAGAUUAAUUGGCUGAAAAAAUGUCGUUUCAAAACUUAGUUGCAGUUUAUAAUAACUAAAUUUCAGAAGAACAAGUGACUUUUUCUUGAAAAUGAAUAAAGAAUAAUUAUGAUUUUUUUUAAAAUU
ensembl:antisense